CAUGUCACUCAGUCCACCGCACAAGAGAGAAACAAGGUUGCUUAUCCGUUUCUCCCUUACGUGCCCUAACGGCUUUAAGAAAACAGCGUUCAUAACAUUUUAUUUUUAAAAUAUUUCACAAGGCCUUUCCAUAAGCCCAGCGGGCUUCCACGCGUCUUUCGCGACAGGCGGGGCGCGGCCGCGCUUUGCGGCGGGCCGUUGCCGCGGUAACGACGCGUUGGGUCGGGAACCGCCGCCGUCCGCGGCGCCUCCAUCCCGGUGCAGUCCCUGCAUCCCGGCCCGGUCCCUUCCACACGGUCCGGGCCCUCCCGCCGCCGCCAUGGACAAGUACCAGGUGCUGGGGCUGGUGGGGGAAGGCAGCUACGGGGUGGUGACCAAGUGCAGGAACAGGGAGAACGGGCAGAUCGUGGCCGUCAAGAAGUUCCUGGAGAGCGACGACGACGCGGCGGUGAGGAAAAUAGCCCUGAGGGAAAUCAAACUGCUCAAGCAACUCAGGCACGAGAAUCUGGUGAACCUGCUGGACGUGUGUAAAAGGAAGAAGCGGUGGUACCUGGUAUUUGAAUUUGUGGAUCACACGGUGCUUGAUGACCUCGAGGCCUCUCCCAACGGUCUGGACUACGACAGGGUUCGGAAAUACUUAUUUCAGAUUAUGAGAGGAAUUGCCUUUUGUCACAGUCAUAAUAUAAUCCAUCGGGAUAUUAAGCCAGAAAACAUACUGGUUUCCCAGUCGGGAGUUGUCAAACUCUGCGACUUCGGAUUUGCCCGGCCCUUGGCAACUUCCGGGGAAGUUUACACGGACUACGUGGCGACCCGCUGGUACAGAGCCCCGGAGCUGCUGGUGGGAGACAGCAAGUAUGGCAGGCCUGUGGACGUGUGGGCUAUUGGCUCCCUGAUAACAGAAAUGCUUACAGGAGAGCCCCUUUUCCCUGGAGACUCAGACAUUGACCAGCUCUUCCAUAUCACCAAGUGCCUGGGUAACUUAAUUCCAAGACAACAGGAGUUAUUCUAUAAAAACCCUCUCUUUGCUGGCAUGAAGUUGCCUGAGGUGAAGGAGCUCGAAUCCCUGGAGAAACGCUAUCCCAAACUCCCUGCUGCCGCACUGGAUUUAGCCAAGGAGUGCUUGCAGAUUGACCCAGACAAGAGACCAUCCUGCGCUGAACUCCUGCAGGGAGAUUUCUUCAACAAGGACGGCUUUGCUGAAAGAUUUACUCAGGAGCUUAAACAAAAGAUCCAGAAAGAUGCCAGAGACCAUCAGUUCCAAAAAAAAUCCAAAAUCGGCAAAAGGGACAAAGAUGAUGUUUUAGAAGAAAGAAAAAUGAUCAGUGUUCAGGAUUUCAGCAUGGGCCCAAGGAGCAAAGAUGGAAAGCUGAUAAAGACCAAGCCCUCUAAAGCUGAUGCAGAGAAAGCAGAUCAAUCCUCCAGGGUGGGCUUCAUCUUCGACAGUGCAAUCAACCCACUUAAAUUCAGCCCUCAGACCACCCUGAAAGAUUCCAGCAGCAGCUUGGACUACGCCAAGAGCCCAGGCACAGUUAUCCCUCCCAUCAACCAGAGCUUCUCUCCUACGUUUGGGAUGGGUUCUGUGCCUGGGAGCCUUAAUUACAGACUUGAUGAAAAGAGUAAAAAAUACUUGAACCCAUUGCUAAAGGCACGGAAGCCUUCUCCAGUGGGCCGUUGCAAUGUCAGCUUGACACCGGUUACUAAUGAAAAACCCAUUCUUCAGGCAAGUAAGAAGAAAUGGGAAUUCCCCAAGGCAGAUGUGCGUUUGCCAGAACUAAAUCAUCUCCCCGAGCUGAGAGGACGGGAAGAGCAUGCCUUGGUUGUAUUUUGCAGCUUGGCAUCCCAGAUUUCUGAAAAAGGAAAGUAGAACGUUUGCAGAGUCCCGAGUCCCCUCCCUCGCUGCUAUCGACCUUCAUAACUCAAGUCUGGCUUCACAGCAGCUGUCAGGGACCUUGGUGCCGGAUGCAUUAGAAGCCAACUUCCCCAGGGUUGAGCACUAGCCCUGGGGAGAUGGUCACACCUACCUGUAAAAGGUGGGCUUUCAUUUCUCCUGUGUAGCCUGCUGGGGGCUUCAGUUUUUUGCUGUAUAGUCUUCUGGUGGCUUCCAAAUGGGUGGUUUCAUGAACACUUACCUAGCUGGGAAAUGGAAUAGGAAAGUUCUUUGUUACUUUGUAUUCUUGGCCAGGACAUACAGCUAUGACAGACUUCUUACUGAGGGCAGUACACAGCUUGCUGUGCCUGGUAAAUCAUUAUCCUGAGCUGAAGUGCUGGGCACUGGGGUUGGAAACGAAGCAGCUCUCAUGAACUUGGGGGGUUGAGCAAGAUAGUAGAACAACAGAAAAAGCAGAAGCUGGCUGCCUGCAUGCGAGGAGGGGAAAAAACAGCUCGAGUUUCCUGAUCUGUGAAGCACAGAGGUGUAAGCGCACAGCUUCAGCAAGGUAAGGAUGUGUAAUAAAUCAAAAUAAAGGAAGCCUUUCGUUUCACCAGGGAGCACCUCUGUGGUUUUGUUAGUUUGUCUGGAGCAUCAUUCUCCUUUUCUCCUCUUGAUGCAGGUGACUGAACAGUGGGAACAAUCCAUCUGAGUUUCCAGGGGCUAAAGCUGCCAGGUCUCUGCAGGGGAGAGGAGUGUUGGUGCAGCAGACUGCCACGGAAGUGGCUCGGGUCCAGGCCGAGGAUGGAGCUCGCACUGCCAUUGCUGCUGGAUUUCUUGCAUGCAAAAAGCCCCUGGAAUGUUGACUUUGUGGCUUGGGGCCAGGUCUUGUCUGAGAAGAGUAGUGGUUAUUGGUGUGUGACAAGGGCAGGAGCUGGUUUGGAGGACUCUGAAGGAAGCUGGGCUUUCUUUUGUCCAGCUGCUGCCUGCCUGAGGGGUUUCUUUUUCAAUGAAUAGUGACGAGAGCAGCUGCCAAAACUCUCAUAUUUUGCUGGGCUGCCUGAUCUGGAUUGAAAAGCACCUUUGCCUUGACAGUGAAGAAAAUGUUUGUGCAAGAAAUACAACAUUUAAAUGUGCAAAUCUGCAGCCAUUCCUUUGAAACCCUUGCUAAUGCACUUGUCACUUUGUUUUAGAUUCCUUUUCCCUUCGCAUUUUUGACCCAGCAUUUGGGCGGUUGUCUUUGGGGUGUUUACCUGGGUCUGUUGUCUGGCUGUUGUUAGUGGUGAAGGAAGGAAUAUCCCUGUGGAAUACUGAGCUGUGAUGCAGGUGACAUGUACAAUGGCUCAGUAACUCAAGUCAUCAUUCCUUUCGGUCCCUUAGGAGAAUGGGCCAGUAAAACUCGACUGACUGGAAACAAUUUUUGCUCACUUGCCCUCAAUUUAUCUGUGGUCAGUUUUGUGCUGUCGCUGCAUUGCUCACAACUCUGUUUUCCAUCACCUGUCAUAACUCACACGGUGUCAUUAACUUUGGAACUUAUUUUUCCAUGAAGUAGAGCCUUUCCCAUUGAUGGAUCAUGACUGAAUAUGGUCUGAACUCAUUGUAUUUAGGGAUUUGUCUCUAUGCUGUGUCUUGACAUAUACAUUUCAUUUGUAAAUAAAAACAUCUUGCAGUUCCAGG